CGACCGGCGCACGGGUGAGUAACGCGUAUGCAACUUACCUAUCAGAGGGGGAUAGCCCGGCGAAAGUCGGAUUAAUACCCCAUAAAACAGGGGUCCCGCAUGGGAAUAUUUGUUAAAGAUUCAUCGCUGAUAGAUAGGCAUGCGUUUCAUUAGGCAGUUGGCGGGGUAACGGCCCACCAAACCGACGAUGGAUAGGGGUUCUGAGAGGAAGGUCCCCCACAUUGGUACUGAGACACGGACCAA
rnacentral:rRNA from 1 species